AAUGCGUUCAUACGACGCUCAUGGGUGGAUUUCUGCGCGUGGUCAUCCGGUACCUGCCCGUACGGGUGCGCACCUGGUUUGGCUGCGGCUUUCUUCCUGUAGCCGUCCGCGCUUAAUUGCGUGUGUUGUGUUGCGGAACUUUUACUUUGAGAAAAAUAGAGUGUUUCAAGCAGGCUUGUCGCCCUGAAUACUUCAGCAUGGAAUAAUAGGAUAGGACCUUGGUUCUAUUUUGUUGGUUUCUAGGACCAAGGUAAUGAUUAAUAGGGACAGUUGGGGGCAUUCGUAUUUAACUGUCAGAGGUGAAAUUCUUAGAUUUGUUAAAGACGAACUACUGCGAAAGCAUUUGCCAAGGAUGUUUUCAUUAAUCAAGAACGACAGUAGGGGGUUUGAAGACGAUUAGAUACCGUCGUAAUCUCUACCAUAAACUAUGCCGACUAGAGAUAGGGAAACGCCUACCUUGC
rnacentral:rRNA from 1 species